UACAGAGGUGGCAAGCGUUGUUCGGAAUUACUGGGCGUAAAGAGCGCGCAGGCGGUCGUUCAAGUCGCGUGUGAAAGCCCCCGGCUCAACUGGGGAGGGUCACGCGAUACUGAUCGACUCGAAGGCAGGAGAGGGAAGCGGAAUUCCGGGUGUAGCGGUGAAAUGCGCAGAUAUCCGGAGGAACACCGGUGGCGAAGGCGGCUUCCUGGACCGACACUGACGCUGAGGCGCGAAAGCUAGGGGAGCAAACGGG
rnacentral:rRNA from 1 species